rfam:Camelus ferus unplaced genomic scaffold scaffold701, whole genome shotgun sequence.
GAGGGUAUAGCUCAGUGGUAGAGCACAUGCUUAGCAUACACAAGGUCCUGGGUUCAAUCCCUGGUACCCCCU